rnacentral:lncRNA from 1 species
AAAAUAGGUAGGAAGUUCUUUUGUGAACGUCCAAAAAAGGAAAGAUAGGAAGUUCUUUCGUGGACGGAGGGAGUAGUUGUUAAUUGUGAGAACUUAUGGCAAUUAUUCAUUCACCAAAAAUACAAUGAGUAUAUUAUAAAGAUUUGUAUGGAUUAGGCGUAAAUAUGUAUUAAAUUAAGCAAUUACAUGUUUAUCCUUUUAUAAAUUAGGCGUAAAUAUGCAUGGAUUAGAUUAGGCAAAUCUUAAGCCAUUAGCUGAAAUAGAAAUUUUAUUGAAGAAAAACAAAACCCUUGAGAGCACAGGCGCAAACAAGGAAAGUUCGGAAAAACCCAAACCAAAAAACAAAAAGACAAAAAACCCAAGCGAAAAAAGAAAGAAAAAACAAGAAUGAACAAGAGACGGGACCGCAAAGGGACACAACCGAGGCCAAGCAAAGUCCACGCCAGAGCCGUCCCGGGAAGAGCACAACACAAGAACGCGCGCCAGAGAAAGCAAGCGCCAAAGGAAUCAAGCGCCAGAGGGAACAA